AUGAACGCUAGCGACAGGCUUAACACAUGCAAGUCGAGGGGCAGCGGGGUGUAGCAAUACACCGCCGGCGACCGGCGCACGGGUGAGUAACGCGUAUGCAACUUGCCUAUCAGAGGGGGAUAACCCGGCGAAAGUCGGACUAAUACCGCAUAAAGCAGGGGCCCCGCAUGGGGAUAUUUGCUAAAGAUUCAUCGCUGAUAGAUAGGCAUGCGUUCCAUUAGGCAGUUGGCGGGGUAACGGCCCACCAAACCGACGAUGGAUAGGGGUUCUGAGAGGAAGGUCCCCCACAUUGGUACUGAGACACGGACCAAACUCCUACGGGAGGCAGCAGUGAGGAAUAUUGGUCAAUGGGCGCGAGCCUGAACCAGCCAAGUCGCGUGAGGGAUGAAGGUUCUAUGGAUCGUAAACCUCUUUUAUAAGGGAAUAAAGUGCGGGACGUGUCCCGUUUUGUAUGUACCUUAUGAAUAAGGAUCGGCUAACUCCGUGCCAGCAGCCGCGGUAAUACGGAGGAUCCGAGCGUUAUCCGGAUUUAUUGGGUUUAAAGGGUGCGUAGGCGGCCUUUUAAGUCAGCGGUGAAAGUCUGUGGCUCAACCAUAGAAUUGCCGUUGAAACUGGGGGGCUUGAGUAUGUUUGAGGCAGGCGGAAUGCGUGGUGUAGCGGUGAAAUGCUUAGAUAUCACGCAGAACCCCGAUUGCGAAGGCAGCCUGCCAAGCCAUGACUGACGCUGAUGCACGAAAGCGUGGGGAUCAAACAGGAUUAGAUACCCUGGUAGUCCACGCAGUAAACGAUGAUCACUAGCUGUUUGCGAUACAGUGUAAGCGGCACAGCGAAAGCGUUAAGUGAUCCACCUGGGGAGUACGCCGGCAACGGUGAAACUCAAAGGAAUUGACGGGGGCCCGCACAAGCGGAGGAACAUGUGGUUUAAUUCGAUGAUACGCGAGGAACCUUACCCGGGCUUAAAUUGCAAAUGAAUAAUCAAGAAAUUGGUUAGCCGUAAGGCAUUUGUGAAUGUGCUGCAUGGUUGUCGUCAGCUCGUGCCGUGAGGUGUCGGCUUAAGUGCCAUAACGAGCGCAACCCUUGCCACUAGUUACUAACAGGUGAUGCUGAGGACUCUGGUGGGACUGCCAGCGUAAGCUGCGAGGAAGGCGGGGAUGACGUCAAAUCAGCACGGCCCUUACAUCCGGGGCGACACACGUGUUACAAUGGCGUGGACAAAGGGAGGCCACCUGGCGACAGGGAGCGAAUCCCCAAACCACGUCUCAGUUCGGAUCGGAGUCUGCAACCCGACUCCGUGAAGCUGGAUUCGCUAGUAAUCGCGCAUCAGCCAUGGCGCGGUGAAUACGUUCCCGGGCCUUGUACACACCGCCCGUCAAGCCAUGGGAGCCGGGGGUACCUGAAGUCCGUAACCGAAAGGAUCGGCCUAGGGUAAAACUGGUGACUGGGGCU
rnacentral:rRNA from 1 species